rnacentral:rRNA from 1 species
GACGAACGCUGGCGGCGUGCUUAACACAUGCAAGUCGAGCGGUAAGGCCCUUCGGGGUACACGAGCGGCGAACGGGUGAGUAACACGUGGGUAACCUGCCCUGUACUCUGGGAUAAGCCUUGGAAACGAGGUCUAAUACCGGAUACGACCUGGAAUCGCAUGAUUCUAGGUGGAAAGUUCCGGCGGUACAGGAUGGACCC